GGAUGAACGCUGGCGGCGUGCCUAAUACAUGCAAGUCGAGCGAACAGACGAGGAGCUUGCUCCUCUGACGUUAGCGGCGGACGGGUGAGUAACACGUGGAUAACCUACCUAUAAGACUGGGAUAACUUCGGGAAACCGGAGCUAAUACCGGAUAAUAUAUUGAACCGCAUGGUUCAAUAGUGAAAGACGGUUUUGCUGUCACUUAUAGAUGGAUCCGCGCCGCAUUAGCUAGUUGGUAAGGUAACGGCUUACCAAGGCAACGAUGCGUAGCCGACCUGAGAGGGUGAUCGGCCACACUGGAACUGAGACACGGUCCAGACUCCUACGGGAGGCAGCAGUAGGGAAUCUUCCGCAAUGGGCGAAAGCCUGACGGAGCAACGCCGCGUGAGUGAUGAAGGUCUUCGGAUCGUAAAACUCUGUUAUUAGGGAAGAACAAAUGUGUAAGUAACUAUGCACGUCUUGACGGUACCUAAUCAGAAAGCCACGGCUAACUACGUGCCAGCAGCCGCGGUAAUACGUAGGUGGCAAGCGUUAUCCGGAAUUAUUGGGCGUAAAGCGCGCGUAGGCGGUUUUUUAAGUCUGAUGUGAAAGCCCACGGCUCAACCGUGGAGGGUCAUUGGAAACUGGAAAACUUGAGUGCAGAAGAGGAAAGUGGAAUUCCAUGUGUAGCGGUGAAAUGCGCAGAGAUAUGGAGGAACACCAGUGGCGAAGGCGACUUUCUGGUCUGUAACUGACGCUGAUGUGCGAAAGCGUGGGGAUCAAACAGGAUUAGAUACCCUGGUAGUCCACGCCGUAAACGAUGAGUGCUAAGUGUUAGGGGGUUUCCGCCCCUUAGUGCUGCAGCUAACGCAUUAAGCACUCC
rnacentral:rRNA from 17 species